rnacentral:rRNA from 1 species
GAUGAACGCUGGCGGCGUGCCUAAUACAUGCAAGUCGAGCGAACAGACGAGGAGCUUGCUCCUCUGACGUUAGCGGCGGACGGGUGAGUAACACGUGGAUAACCUACCUAUAAGACUGGGAUAACUUCGGGAAACCGGAGCUAAUACCGGAUAAUAUAUUGAACCGCAUGGUUCAAUAGUGAAAGACGGUUUUGCUGUCACUUAUAGAUGGAUCCGCGCCGCAUUAGCUAGUUGGUAAGGUAGCGGCUUACCAAGGCAACGAUGCGUAGCCGACCUGAGAGGGUGAUCGGCCACACUGGGACUGAGACACGGUCCAGACUCCUACGGGAGGCAGCAGUAGGGAAUCUUCCGCAAUGGGCGAAAGCCUGACGGAGCAACGCCGCGUGAGUGAUGAAGGUCUUCGGAUCGUAAAACUCUGUUAUUAGGGAAGAACAAAUGUGUAAGUAACUAUGCACGUCUUGACGGUACCUAAUCAGAAAGCCACGGCUAACUACGUG